CACGUAGGGUGCGAGCGUUGUCCGGAAUUAUUGGGCGUAAAGAGCUCGUAGGCGGUGUGUCGCGUCGGCCGUGAAAACCUGUGGCUUAACUAUGGGCUUGCGGUCGAUACGGGCAUCACUGGAGUUCGGCAGGGGAGACUGGAAUUCCUGGUGUAGCGGUGAAAUGCGCAGAUAUCAGGAGGAACACCGGUGGCGAAGGCGGGUCUCUGGGCCACUACUGACGCUGAGAAGCGAAAGCAUGGGGAGCGAACAGG
rnacentral:rRNA from 1 species